rnacentral:piRNA from 1 species
UGGACCCUGACGGAAAUGUAAUUU